AGAGUGAACGCUGGCGGUAGGCCUAACACAUGCAAGUCGAACGGCAGCACAGGAGAGCUUGCUCUCUGGGUGGCGAGUGGCGGACGGGUGAGGAAUACAUCGGAAUCUACCUUUUCGUGGGGGAUAACGUAGGGAAACUUACGCUAAUACCGCAUACGUCCUACGGGAGAAAGCGGGGGACCUUCGGGCCUCGCGCCAUUAGAUGAGCCUAGGUCGGAUUAGCUAGUUGGUGAGGUAAUGGCUCACCAAGGCGACGAUCCGUAACUGGUCUGAGAGGAUGAUCAGUCACACUGGAACUGAGACACGGUCCAGACUCCUACGGGAGGCAGCAGUGGGAAUAUUGGACAAUGGGCGAAAGCCUGAUCCAGCCAUGCCGCGUGUGUGAAGAAGGUCUUCGGAUUGUAAAGCACUUUAAGUUGGAGAAGGUUGUAACUUAAUACGUUGCAACUUUGACGUUUACGACAGAAUAAGCAACCGGCUAAACUCGUGCCAGCAGCCGCGGUAA
rnacentral:rRNA from 1 species